AGAGAGAGUUAGAUAAUGAGCUGGCACGCUCUUGUGAAAUGUUUACUGUGUUCCUUGAAGCAAGGGACAUGCUGGUUCCUAAACUAAUUUGGGGUUGCUAGAUCUUUUCUCCUCUUUUUGGAGAUCUCUGAAGUAAACACAAGGGCUUAAGGAUAAUUAAGCCGUAUCAGGGAGUCAAAUCAGCAGUCACGGGGCUUCUUCCGAAAGGAGGACCGCUGCAGAUCUGUCGGAAGGACAGGCCUCCGUGCAUCGUCCCAGCCAUCUGGAGAGCGGAGUCCAGAAAGCAAAGAGGGGCGUCCUGGCGACAAUGCCCGGAAGAGGAGAUGCACCCCACACACACAGCAGUUCCCGAGCCCCCUUUCCUCUGCACAACCUGCUCGGGCUUGCGGAGCGUGAGCUGUAACGACCUCCUCCGUCCCCUAGUCCAGGCAAGAAGUGGAGAGGGGAGGACAGGGAGGAGGGCGUGGGCUUGCUGCCUGGGGCAGAUGGUGUGCUGGGAACAGAUGCCAGGGACGAAGAAGACUCCCCGACACCCGUCGGCUGCCAUCGCCUCUUCAAGGAGAAGGACCUCCGGGUGCAGAGAGCAGAGCAGGCAACGGCCAGAGGGACUGAACUGCCUUUUUCUGGGACCUCGGUCUUCUGAUUUCCAGCCCACACCAUGGCCCCUGCGUCUGCCCCACACCUACUGCCGACAAGGAGAAGAGAGACAGGGAGGCGUCCCGGACCGUGUUCUCUAUGUGGCAGUGACGCUUCCCUCGGAAAGAUGCCCUUGGAAAUCCAGUGAGGUCUCAUUCCUGAAGGGAUACUUUCUGCUGGAGAAUAGUGAAUUCACUUGUAUUUUCCAAUAUGCACAUUUUUUUCCCCAUGGUAAAUCUUUUCCAUGAAAUUUUGCAGCCUGUGCUUGCUUAGGAGGAAUCAAUUAAGGUUGUUAUAUUUUAGCUGUACUUCGAAAUACACAGGAGAUCCAAGUCUGAGCUCCUAAUGGCUGUGUUUUAUAAAAUUAAGACCGCUCAUUCAAUUAUGACUAAAGGCUCC